AUCAACAGCUGCAGUCACUCGUGUUGAUGAUUGGGUUUCAAACUGGGGAAAAGAUGAUUUCACUGAGAUGGCGAGUGCCUCUAUUGCUAUGUCCUUCUUGGCCUUCCUUGCCUUUGCUUGCAGUUCACUCAUCUCAGGGUAUAACCUCUUCAACCAAGACUCUCUCUGAUUCUCCUCCCUCACCUUUUUUUUGUAUAGUUAAAAGCCAAGAACACACUCCUUGUGUCAAAAUAUAUAUUUGAGAAAUAAAAGAUCAAUACGUCUUUUAUAGAAUUGUAGUUUAUUACACUAUUUAUGGAUUUUUGUAGACAUAAUAAAAUACCUGGAAACUGUGUAAUAUUUGAGGUUAAUAAGAGAGGCAUCAAGACCUUUUUGAUUUUGUUGUUUAAAAACGUUACAAAACCUUAACAUAUCUUAAACUGGAGCUAUAACGGCAAAACAUAUUUGGCUCCGGGAGAAGAACCGGUGGUGGUGGUCAGCGAUCUGGAGCUGUGUUGGCGAUUCUGAAGAGGUCGAGGAGGGAAGAGGUUGUGAAGUAUUCAGCUUUAGGGUUUAGGUUAAGCGAAGUCGUCUUGGCUUUGAUCUCGUUCUCGGUCAUGGCUGCUGAUAAGACUAAAGGGUGGAGUGGCGAUUCUUUUGAUCGUUACAGGGAGUACAGGUAUGUAUGGUCGUGUUCUUGAAUUGGUUCAAGAUGAGUCUUAUUGAUGUCAUUUGAUUUUGAUUAACCAAACUUGGUUGUGACAGGUUUUGUCUGUCUGUGAACGUGGUUGCUUUUGUAUAUUCUGCUUUUCAAGCAUGUGACUUGGCAUACCAUCUUGUCAGAGAGAAGCACUUUAUCAACCACCACCUCCGACCUCUCUUUGAGUUCAUCUUAGAUCAGGCGAGUCUACAUUAACUUACUCAUCUACUAAUGAAUAAGAAAAUGUUUGUGUCCUGAAGAAGAAUAGUUGCUCUGUGUUUUUGGCUAUUUAGGUGCUUGCGUAUAUGCUUAUAUCAGCAUCAACAGCUGCAGUCACUCGUGUUGAUGAUUGGGUUUCAAACUGGGGAAAAGAUGAUUUCACUGAGAUGGCGAGUGCCUCUAUUGCUAUGUCCUUCUUGGCCUUCCUUGCCUUUGCUUGCAGUUCACUCAUCUCAGGGUAUAACCUCUUCAACCAAGACUCUCUCUGAUUCUCCUCCCUCACCUUUUUUUUGUAUAGUUAAAAGCCAAGAACACACUCCUUGUGUCAAAAUAUAUAUUUGAGAAAUAAAAGAUCAAUACGUCUUUUAUAGAAUUGUAGUUUAUUACACU
rnacentral:lncRNA from 1 species